GGGAUCACUUCAGCAGCACAUAUACUAAAAUUGGAAUGAUACAGAGAAGAUUAGCAUGCCCCCUGUGCAAGGAUAACAUGCAAAUGUAUGAAGCGUUCCAAAUUUUU